GACAAUACAGUGGGGAGGCACCAACUCUGGUACGAUAACCGAAGUUAAGCAACGUCGAGCCUGGUCAGUACCUAGAUGGGUGACCGUUUGGGAAUACACGGGGCUGUAA